UGCCCUGCAACUCCUAUCCCUACCUCCUCGCGGUACGAGUAACCUUAAGGAAGAUCGGGUAACUAAUUCCGGUAGGAACUUUGGUGGUAUGCUGACAGGGAAGG
rnacentral:ribozyme from 1 species